AUCGAACGCUGGCGGCAGGCCUAACACAUGCAAGUCGAACGAGUGGCGGACGGGUGAGUAAUGUCUGGGAAACUGCCCGAUGGAGGGGGAUAACUACUGGAAACGGUAGCUAAUACCCCAUACCAUCGGAUGUGCCCAGAGGGGCUUAGCUAGUAGGUUGGGUAACGGCUCACCUGGGCGGCGACCCCUAGCUGGUCUGAGAGGAUGACCAGCCACACUGGAACGGAGACACGGUACAGAACCCUACGGGAGGCAGCAGUGGGGAAGAUUGGACAAUGGGCGAAAGCCGGAUCAAGCCAUGCCGGUUGUGUGAGGAGGGUCUUCGAAUUGUAAAGCACUUUAAGUGGGGAGGCGUUACCAACAGAAUAAGCACCGGCUAACUUCGUGCCAGCAGCCGCGGUAAUUC
rnacentral:rRNA from 1 species